UGGGGAAUAUUGCACAAUGGGGGAAACCCUGAUGCAGCGACGCCGCGUGAGUGAAGAAGUAUUUCGGUAUGUAAAGCUCUAUCAGCAGGGAAGAUAAUGACGGUACCUGACUAAGAAGCCCCGGCUAACUACGUGCCAGCAGCCGCGGUAAUACGUAGGGGGCAAGCGUUAUCCGGAUUUACUGGGUGUAAAGGGAGCGUAGGCGGCUAGGCAAGUCAGAUGUGAAAGCCCAGGGCUCAACCCUGGGACUGCAUUUGAAACUGCUUAGCUAGAGUGCAGGAGAGGUAAGUGGAAUUCCUAGUGUAGCGGUGAAAUGCGUAGAUAUUAGGAGGAACACCAGUGGCGAAGGCGGCUUACUGGACUGUAACUGACGCUGAGGCUCGAAAGCGUGGGGAGCAAACAGG
rnacentral:rRNA from 2 species